ensembl:lncRNA
GUUUGCUCUGCAGACUUGCCUGGAGAAUUGAGAUGGAAAACACUGCUAGUCAGCUGAUGCCAGUGACGGUUAACAAUGCUAACCCCAAUUACUCACAGUUGAGAGUUAAAAAGACAAGGAGAACAGCUGAAAUUCCUGAUUGACUGCUCGAGGGACUGGACACUGAAACAAUCUUUCCUCCGCUAGCUUAGCUGACAGGCAGAGAAAUAGAAGUGAAAGGGAAGACACCAAAUUACCAGGCACCUUUAUCUGCGCUCUCCCAGGUUGUGUGUGAUUGUACAUUAUGUGGGGUAAUGAUCAUGACUGCAGGCGAGUCUUUAUAUGCUAAAGUGUCUCCCUCUUUUAGGCCCGGGCCUGCAUCGUCGGCUGAGUGACUUUGAUCUGGCAAUCAGCAAGGUGGAGAAAAGGAAGAUGAGGAAAAUGCCAUUUUUAACAGCCUGCUUCGAUUUGAGGGAUGCAACUCGAGGAAAAGGAUCCUUUAUGAAGUGAUCUAAACCUUUUGCCCAACUGCAAGGCAAAAUAACACAAGAAUCGGCAUGAUGGAAGUUUAGAGGGAUGAACCUCAGAGAGAAGGAUGCUGGGUACAGAUGAUAAAACGAUG